rnacentral:ncRNA from 1 species
GGGGUGAUGUAGUGGAUGUGGGAGUCCACCCCACCCGCGGUGAGGACGCGGUGUUCACCGGCGAUGACCUCGGUACCUGGCCCCAUGACCAGCUCCGGGUCCACGCCGUCCUGGGUGUUCGGGUUGCCGGCCUUGCCGAU